rnacentral:rRNA from 1 species
CCCCAGACUCCUACGGGAGGCAGCAGUGGGGGAUAUUGCACAAUGGGGGAAACCCUGAUGCAGCGACGCCGCGUGAGUGAAGAAGUAAUUCGUUACGUAAAGCUCUAUCAGCAGGGAAGAAAAUGACGGUACCUGACUAAGAAGCCCCGGCUAACUACGUGCCAGCAGCCGCGGUAAUACGUAGGGGGCAAGCGUUAUCCGGAUUUACUGGGUGUAAAGGGAGCGUAGACGGCUGUGCAAGCCAGAUGUGAAAGCCCGGGGCUCAACCCCGGGACUGCAUUUGGAACUGUGUGGCUGGAGUGUCGGAGAGGCAGGCGGAAUUCCUAGUGUAGCGGUGAAAUGCGUAGAUAUUAGGAGGAACACCAGUGGCGAAGGCGGCCUGCUGGACGAUGACUGACGUUGAGGCUCGAAAGCGUGGGGAGCAAACAGGAUUAGAUACCCCAGUA